rnacentral:piRNA from 1 species
AGGACAUCCACUGUGGUAGUACCUCGGC